rnacentral:tRNA from 1 species
GAAAUCCUCAUNUUANCGGUUCCAAUUUCCAAUCCAGAUUGGUAGGAUAGA